GGGGGGGGGGGGGGGGGGGGGGGGGGGGGGGGGGGGGGGGGGGGGGGGGGGGGGGGGGGGGAGUGCCCAGCCAAUUGGCGGGGCUGGAGCAGCCACACAUGAAAUAUGAUGAUUUUCAGCAGCAGGAGGAGGAGGAGGAGGAGGAGGGGGAGCCGCCGGCUCGCAUGCCGGGGGCUGCGCACAGCCUGGCCGGAGGCGAGCGCGGCCGGAGGAGCCGCAGCACCCCGGGAUGGCCCCGAGCACUGAGCAGGAGGAUGCCACCGCCACCCAGGUGCUAA
rnacentral:lncRNA from 12 species